UACGGGGGGGCAAGCGUUGUCCGGAAUUAUUGGGCGUAAAGCGCGCGCAGGCGGUUCUUUAAGUCUGGUGUCUAAGUGCGGGGCUCAACCCCGUGAUGCACUGGAAACUGGGGAACUUGAGUGCAGAAGAGGAGAGCGGAAUUCCAGGUGUAGCGGUGAAAUGCGUAGAUAUCUGGAGGAACACCGGUGGCGAAGGCGGCGAUCCUGGACCG
rnacentral:rRNA from 1 species